UCAAACACUCUUAACUCACGUUGAUUUUCAGCCCACACACAACUCACACACACUAACACCUAAAACACACACACCAUUCACGCAUAUACCAUUUUUUAGCUUGAGCUCAAGCUUUUGAGCUCCGAUUUGAGCACCGAGAUGAACGCCGAUCAUCUUUUCGAUCACGUAUCUAAGUAGGUCCUUUUGGGAAGUAACGACUUGAGGGAGAGAGUGACGUUACUCAUUGAUACAGAGACACAACGAGGUUGAGCUGAUGUGAUGAUGGUGCUGCAAUGAGCGGAGUCUCCAGGGUUGUUAAUAAAUAGUUAACCUGUCUAGAAUAUGUCUUCAUACAUAUGUCUAGCUACUUUCCGCUGCAAGAUGUUGUUGAUGUUAUAGUAUGUUAUGUCAUACUUUGAGUCUUAAGAGAAUGGUUUCAUACGAUGUAUAACUUGAUUAAUGAUAUUAAUUAAGUUUUAUGCUGUCUUUCAUA